rnacentral:misc_RNA from 1 species
AAGUCGUAACAAGGUUUCCGUAGGUGAACCUGCGGAAGGAUCAUUACCUUCUAGUUAUUUUGACUAGCUCGGGGGCCGGCUUGCGUUGUCCCAAAAGGACCCCUGCCGCCCCGGCUGCAUCCUUGUCUAUUGCGUACUACAUGUUUCCUCGGUAGGCUUGCCUACCGGUUGGACAACCAUUAAACUCUUUUGUAAUUGCAAUCAGCGUCUGAAAAUAAUUUUAAUUAUUACAACUUUCAACAACGGAUCUCUUGGUUCUG